AUUGAACGCUGGCGGCAUGCCUUACACAUGCAAGUCGAACGGCAGCGGACCUUCGGGUGCCGGCGAGUGGCGAACGGGUGAGUAAUAUAUCGGAACGUACCUUUCAGUGGGGGAUAACGUAGCGAAAGUUACGCUAAUACCGCAUAUUCUGUGAGCAGGAAAGCAGGGGAUCGCAAGACCUUGCGCUGAUUGAGCGGCCGAUAUCAGAUUAGCUAGUUGGUGAGGUAAAGGCUCACCAAGGCGACGAUCUGUAGCGGGUCUGAGAGGAUGAUCCGCCACACUGGAACUGAGACACGGUCCAGACUCCUACGGGAGGCAGCAGUGGGGAAUUUUUGGACAAUGGGCGGCAAGCCUGAUCCAGCCAUGCCGCGUGAGUGAAGAAGG
rnacentral:rRNA from 1 species